UCGUUGCGAAAUGCCCACCCAACGCCGUCGGCAUGUGCAUUUGCAAUCAAAACGUGAAAUUUAAAUAAAACUUUAUUUAUUUAUUUAUUUUUUGGGGGCAGAAGUAGAGUGCAUAUUAAUCACACGUAGCGGCCGGCGGGGAAAGGAAGAACUCAAUAGUGGGAUUGCGAAGAGAGAAUAAGCCCCUUACCAGUUACCCAGUUAUGAGUUGCCGGGGGCCGGAUUUGCAAACCAACUCGCUUGCUUAUACUUACUUCUAGUAAUAGUCAAUAAUCAAUAAUCAAUCUGGGUGGUGGUGGUGGUGGUGGUGGUACUGGGCUUCUUGUGUGCGUCGUCAGACGGACGAUCAUCCCUCCCAUCAUUAUCCAUUCCUUCCCAAGAUCUAACCCUUCCGUCUUCGUCCGAUAUGGCUGCCAAUGUCAACCCCAAUCCCACUCCUGAGGCCAAUGCCGUUGCUAUCCCCGAGAUCGGACCCGAUGGCCUCCGUCGAGAAUCUCCUGUCAUUGCCUACACCGAGCAGAAAAUCGAGGAAGAGCAGCUUCAAUUGCAAAAGUACAUUCAGGAAAACUAUUCCAAGAUUCGUGAUGUUGAACGAGAAUUGGCAAAUCUUUCCAUGGAGAUGAAACUUACAUCUGGCCCAAAAAAAGCAGCUCUUGAGCACAUGAGAAAGAAGAUAGAAAUCUCGAAUGAGAAAAUUCGUCUUGCUAGGCAAAAGGAGGAACUUGCAAGAAAGGCUUGGGAAGAAGCAUCAAAGGCAGUAAAAGAUGAGGAAGCAUUUAAGCAGAAGCUUUGCGAAGAUUUGAAUAACCUGGUACAAGAGAGUAGUAAUGCUCAAUUAGCUAGACUAGAGGAAUUGAAAAGGCGGCUGGAAGCUCUGAAUCCUAGCAGAUCAUCCGCAUCUGUCCCAAUUGAUGGUGUUCCAUUGGAACAUUCACCCAGCAAUAGAACUCAAGAUGCUGCCUUAGGUACAGCUAGUGUGCAAGUAGCUAAUGGAUCUUCUGGACAGAUAUCUAGUCAAGGUAAUGCAGGACAUGGUCCAAUAACAAAUGGAAACCAAGGGCUUCCUGCAUACAAUGAAGGUAGAGGGAAGAAAAAAACUGUGCUACAAGGGAGGGGAAAGGGAAUUGGAGCAGUACCCAAGGGUAGAGGUUCUGCAGCACCUGGGUGGACUGGGGCGGGUUUUGAUGUUGAUGGUAGAAGUUGAGACCAGGAUUUCAUGUAUCUUUUUAGUGAUCAGUAUAGAGAGACUAGCUGACUUUCAAUCAGCGCAUGAUGGGAUCUUCUGCUGCCUCUGUGCUUGUAGUAUCGUUUCAUGUGCUAACUUGAUGCAAUGAAAUGUUUUGGCGUGAUGAGCCUGACCACCCGCAGGAGGCAGAGGAAGCUAAUUAUAUCCUCUGAUCUAACCCUCUGCAUAAACUCAUUUUCUAGUAAGAGGAUAAGUCGGGCCUCGGGGAGACAUAUACUGGAGUGCGUUAUUAUGUCCUGCAGUCGGUAAUAAUUUCAGACAGACAUGGUAGUAUUAUAUGCAGCUGCGUGAUGGCAACAGCGUCAAGUGGUUGAAGAACCUUAAUACUGACAGGCUGUAUGACCUCCACGUUUUAACAGACCGUUGAUUACUUGGAAAAGUCUCUGUGAGGUUUCAAAAUUUCGCACUGCUCCGACUGGCUGCACCUAAGUUCACUUGAGUUCAGAUAAUUAUGUGAGCACAAAUGACAAUUUUAGUUACCAUUCACCUUCUUGUUUGCACAUACAUCUGCAACUACCUGAGUGCCAGUACAGGGAAGAUUUCUACACAUUAACUGUGAGAAAAUAGUAAUGCAAACAGAUUUCUAUGGAUCCCUUCCCCUCAAAAUAAAGAACUCUUGUGCUCAUAGUGUCGAGCAGCAAGCAUC